CCUACGGGAGGCAGCAGUGAGGAAUAUUGGUCAAUGGACGCAAGUCUGAACCAGCCAUGCCGCGUGCAGGAAGACGGCUCUAUGAGUUGUAAACUGCGUUUGUACGAGGGUAAACGCAGAUACGCGUAUCUGUCUGACAGGAUCGUACGAAUAAGGAACGGCUAACUCCGUGCCAGCAGCCGCGGUAAUACGGAGGAUUCAAGCGUUAUCCGGUUUUAUUGGGUUUAAAGGGUGCGUAGGCGGUCGGAUAAGUUAGAGGUGAAAUCCCGAGGCUCAACUUCGGAAUUGCCUUUGAUACUGUUCGGCUAGAGAGUAGUUGCGGUAGGCGGAAUGUAUGGUGUAGCGGUGAAAUGCUUAGAGAUCAGACAGAACACCGGUUGCGAAGGCAGCUUACUGAGCUACUUCUGACGUUGAGGCACGAAAGCGUGGGGAGCAAACAGGAUUAGAUACCCCAGUAGUC
rnacentral:rRNA from 1 species